UGCGCAGGCGGUUCGUUAUGUCCGUUGUGAAAGCCCCGGGCUCAACCUGGGAAUGGCAAUGGAAACUGGCGAGCUAGAGUGUGGCAGAGGGGGGUGGAAUUCCGCGUGUAGCAGUGAAAUGCGUAGAGAUGCGGAGGAACACCGAUGGCGAAGGCAGCCCCCUGGGCUAGCACUGACGCUCAGGCACGAAAGCGUGGGGAGCAAACAGGAUUAGAUACCCUGGUAGUCCACGCCCUAAACGAUGAUCACUAGGUGUUGGCGGAGCAAUCUGCUGGUACCGUAGCUAACGCGUGAAGUGAUCCGCCUGGGGAGUACGGUCGCAAGAUUAAA
rnacentral:rRNA from 1 species